AUUGAACGCUGGCGGCAGGCUUAACACAUGCAAGUCGAGCGAGCGGCGGACGGGUGAGUAAUGUCUGGGAAACUGCCUGAUGGAGGGGGAUAACUACUGGAAACGGUAGCUAAUACCGCAUACCAUCAGAUGUGCCCAUAUGGGAUUAGCUAGUAGGUGGGGUAGUGGCUCACCUAGGCGACGAUCCCUAGCUGGUCUGAGAGGAUGACCAGCAAAACUGGAACUGAGACACGGGCCAGAAUCGUACGGGAGGCAGCAGUGGGGAAUAUUGCACAAGGGGCGCAAGCCUGAUGCAGCCAUGCCGCGUGUGUGAAGAAGGCCUUCGGGGUGUAAAGCACUUUCAGCGAGGAGGCGUUACUCGCAGAAGAAGCACCGGCUAACUCCGUGCCAGCAGCCGCGGUAAUU
rnacentral:rRNA from 1 species